GUUUAUUGAAUUGAAUGAAUUUAAAACAAACUUUAAUAAUACAUUGAACGUACCCUUUUGAAACGAAUGAAAACAAAUACUUUAUUUACUCGUAAAUUACUUUUUCUGUUCAUCAUCUCUCCCUUUUUCUAGAAAAAACGAUUUAAACCAAACCUUCUCUCUUUCUCUGCGAAAUCCAACACGACUAAAAAUAUGGGAACCAAAUGGUGUUCGUCUUCAUCAAGCCCAAAUUUUAGAAGCUAAAUAAUCCCCAAAGCAAAUUACUCAAACCCUAGCCGCAUAACAUUUUAAAAAAAAAAUCUCAACAUCAACCACAAUCAACUAUAAUUAGUCUGAAAUCCUAAAGCCUAGGAGAAAAAUAGGGGCUUCGGUGGUGAGAAGAUUGAUAUGAAAGGAAUAAGUCUCACCGGAGCUUCGCAACUCCGGCGAGAUCCCGACGGUCGAAGAAAUACCUCAGGUUGAUUGAGCUUUGGUGUGUAGGUUGGGAUGUGAUUUCAGCAGGGUGACGGUGCCAGAAGGGAGAGGCCUUUCAAUGAAUGAGCGCUCCCUUUUAUAGAGUUUAAUACGAGGUUCAAUCCGCUCCUCCUUCAUGAGCUUGCAAAUCUUUGGAUGAAUCAAUCCGUUAGCCAAAAGAAUCUCGUCCAGAUUUGGUGGUCCUCCCUUUUGACGUGGUCCCCAAAAUGAAGGUUUUGGGUUAACUAAUGCCAUGAGGAAAAGACACUCACUUAAAUGGCCGUUUGGACUGUUGUGAAUGGUGAACUGACAUGACAGAAUACUAUUUGGCCAGUUCAGUUACCACUGAUGCACUGCAGGUUAUUACCAUGAAUUCACACAUUGAUGCAGGGUGGUAAACUCUUCAUGUUGCAGAGUGGUGGUGAUUUAAAUGGUCAAGCGGAGAUUGAGGCCGUUUGCGAGUCUGUAGCCCGUGUACGUCCAGCCUUCAGUAAACAGUUCAGAACAUGAGGUUAUGUUCUUAUUAUCCUCGCACUCAUUGAUUGAAUCAUUGUUGAAUUGUGGUAUGCAUUAUCUGUUUGGAUUGUGGACCCUGCAUUGGUAUGCUCUAACACCGUCCUCAUCUGUUCAUGAUUUGCUUUGCUUUGAUUUAUGCCUUUCUUGCUUAUCAUGUUAAGCUUGUUCGUCGCAGACUUGCAGGAUUCAUAUUGGUGGCAUGACGAAUUCUUAUUCACUGCCUUGGUUGUGAAAAGCGACUUUUGUGUUCUUUUGGCUUAUGUUACCGUAGAAUUUGCAGCAAUUGGUGAUACUAUUCCGUCUUACAAUACCAAUCCAUUGUUGACUGGUUCUUCAUGUCUUGUUGACUUAGUUUUUUUUGUUUUGAGCUCUGCAAGGCACAUGUUGUUAUGACCAAGGUAGUCAAACUCGAGAUCCUACGCAAGAUCGGGUUGGGAUAAUUAGAUCGUGAAUCGGGGGAUCGUAACACGGAUCGUAAGAUCCUACCAAAUUUAAAAAUUCACAUAUAUUUUGCAUAUAGAUUAAUAAUAUGCAUAUGACACUACAUAAUAUGAAAAUAAAAUUCAAAUAACACUAAAAUUACUUUUAAAAACUGAAAUUUCAUAGGAUAAUAUUCAUUAAAACUAAUUCAAGACAAUUCCAAAACACCACAACAUUCAAAACAGUAGCAAAUAAUAAUUGAAAACUCAUAAGAAAAACUUAAUGAAAAUUCACUCAAUUUCCAAACAAGUCAUGUUGGAGUUGGUCAUAAUCAUUCAAUGGAUCAUCAUUGUCUUCAUUAUCUCCUUCAUCUUCAUUUUCAUCUUCAAAGUCAUCAUCAAAUUCAUUUUCAUCUAUCCCUCUAUCAUGUUCAUCUUCCAAAUCAUGAACAAAAAUAUCAUCCUCUUGAAUUUGUUCUUGAUUCAUUUGAAUAAAGUCUUCAUCCGAAAUUUCAAUGUCGCCGUCUUCGUCCAUAAGCCAAUCAUCAUCAGAUCCAAGGUCAUCUAACUCUAUCUCAAAUGUUCUUCUCCCUUUCUUUUUUUUGGACAAUCUUGAAUUAGCCAUGACAAAUACAACAUCAUUCAUCAUUUUUUGUUUCAAGCGGUUCCUUCUUUUUGUAUGGACCUUAAUUACAGUAAAUGAAAAAAAAUUAACAUAAGCAAGAUGAAAGCCUUAUACAAUUAAUUAUAAAUUCUUAAAGUCUCACCAUCUCAAAAGCACUCCAGUUUCGCUCACAACCCGAUGAACUGCAUGUCAAGCUGAGUAUGCGGAUAGCAAAUCUUUGCAGUUCUGGACACUCAAACCCAAUUGAAUCCCACCAAUCUGCCGGAGUAGAUUUUUCAAGUGUUCGUUUGGCCAAUUCUGUGCCAAAAUACCCUAAUUGUUUCUUAAAGUCAUGCAUUUGGACUUCAAUCUUAGCCUGUUCUUCAGGAUCAUCCACCAUUUUAGUUAAGCAGUCCAUUAAACCUUUUCUAACCUCAAUAUCAGCUUUGAAUCUAGAGCCGUAAUGCAUCUGUGGGUUGAGAUAAUAGGCUGCAGCAUGUAGUGGUCUAUGUAGCAUUGUGUCCCAUCUAUCAUCAAUGAUAUUCCAAAUAGACUUGUAACUACAAAUUAUAAUAAUUUGAGUUAUUUUUAACAUUUGAUAUCAAGUACAGACACAAAUACGUGAAUAAAGUUAAAUAAAACAAAGAUACCUUUUUUUUACACCAUUAAAAUUCUUUUGAAUUUCCUCCUUUGCUUGGUCUAUUGCCUCAUAGAUUAAUCCCAUGGCUGGUUUUUGAUCUGAAUCAACUAAACGAAGCACUUUAAUGAGAGGUGUAGCACCCCUCAAACAAACAACAAUAUUCUUCCAAAAACUUUUGUCCAAAACCACAUCUUCAAUGGCUUUUCCAUCUCUUAACUUUGCACAUUUGCUCAAUUUCCAUUCUUUGGAAGUGAACAUUCUUAUCAAAGCUUCCUUGUUCUCAUACAAGCACCCUAAAGUAAGGUAAGACGUGGCAAAUCGAGUAGCGCCUGGCCUCACCAAAUCUUUGUUUUUUGUAUGAUGAUGCAAAAUAGAAAUGAGAGAAGUUCUUGAAUAAAUAAAAGUUGUAAUUUUUUUACCCUUUGGAAUUGUCUCUUCAUGAACCGAUAUCUUCUUCUCCAAAUCUUCAAGCAUCAAAUCAAGACAGUGUGCGGCACAAGGUGUCCAAUAUAAUUUUUUCCUCUUUCGCAUCAGCAUCUCACCGGCAGCCUUGUAGUUUGCCGCAUUAUCUGUCACGACCUGAACAACAUUGUCUUCUCCAACCUCUUCAACAACAGCAUCAAUCAUUUCAAAGAUUUUGUCGGCUGUUUUGCAUAUGUUAGAUGCAUCAACAGACUUCAAAAAUACAGUACCCUUUGGACUAUUAACCAAAAAAUUCAAAAUUGUCCUCCUCUUCCGAUCAGUCCAUCCAUCGGUCAUUAUGGUGCAUCCAAUAUUCCUCCAUUCCUUUCUAUGUUCUUCCAAAGCUUCAUGUGUUAACUUAAUUUCUUGAUUUAACAACUUAAUUCUCAAGUCAUGAUAAGAUGGUGGUUUGAAUCCAUUAUCAUGUCUUGAAAUCAUAUCACACAUGAUAGUGAACUCCUCACUCCUUGCUACAUUGAAUGGUAUGGCAUUAUUGUAAAAAAACCUUGCAAUUGCUUGACAUGCAUCAUCUCUUAAACCCUUCUUUAGAACUGCAUUGAUGCUAGGUUGUGAGCUGAAACACCUUUUCUUAAAUAUGUUUCCAGAGUUGUUACUGCUCAUUCUUUUUGAGCAUGCCUCUGACAUCUCUUCCUCCACCAUUGCCUCUGUUUUUUUAAUCAAAUUUUCUUGCAAUCUUGAACAAACCUGCAGUAUUUCUCUCUUGAUUUCAUCUGGGACAGCCUUACAUGCUUCAACAUCUUUUUGAGUUCCAGCCAAGUGAUGCUUUAGCCUGUAGACUCCUCCAGUUACCUUUUUUUGACAAUACUUGCAUUGGAUUUUUCUUGGAUUAUCCGGAUCAGCAAUGCCAUGUUUCCAUGCCAUAUCAGUUCGGUUACCAGGAGCAUUUUUUGGUAGUGUUUUCUGGCGUGGUGGUGGUGCAAUUGCAGGGGGAGCAGUGAGAGCACCAAUAACUAAAGUUCCAACAGCAGAACUUGAAGCCAUGGGAGAAAGGUUGGAUUUUUUUUAAUAGAGAAUGAAAGGUUGUUUUACCGUGAAAGAGGUGAAAGAGAAGAUAGAUAGAGUGAGACAACAGAUUUAUUUAAAUGGAGAGAGGUGAAAUAGUUUAAUGUGAAUAAAUUGGAAUGAAUAAAUAUAUUUUGGGAAGUGGAAUAAAUUCAUAAUUAUUUGGUGGCUGAAUAUUAAUUACUCUUAAACCCUAGUUAUUAGGCUGAAAAUGAAAUGAAUCGUUUCAGAUUUAAAAAAUAUUUUUUAAAGGGAGCUUUAAACAAAAACGGAAUUUUUCAUUAGAAACGGCGAUUCUACCGUUUUCACGUGUUAUCACGGCGAUUCUGCCCGUGCCUACCAAAAAACGAUUCUGAUCAUACUCUGGCACGGUGGAUAGCUGUAAGAUCGUAAAAUCGUACGAUCCUACGAGUAGGAUCGCGAUUUUGACUACCAUGGUUAUGACUGUUGAGUUGGUAUUGACGACAUCGCUACCUUUGAGCUAACUCAUUGCUUCUCAUAGCCCUUGAUUUGGGUUGAUCCGAAAACUGCAUAGGCUAGGUUUGUUGGCUUCAAUGCAGGUUUCUAGGUUGCUUAAGAUUUGCGCUGUCUUGUGUGACUCAUGCUGGCACAAUACUACUUGAGGCCUCUUUUCAACCAAACUUUCCAUCUUUAGGAAAUAACCAUACCAUUAAGUCGAAGGAAAUGACAAGGAAAUGAUGGUGUUGCAGGUGAAACAGAUAUUUGCUGUGAUGAACUUUGUUAUUGACCUUAUGUGUGGUUUUGUAUGUGUUGUCAUGAUGCUUAGGACAUGGGAUUUACGGUGCGGAAGGCCAUGGCAUGCUGCAGAUCUAAUGCAUCUGUCUUGGAUGCUGAUGCAGGCUGGACUGUUGAAGAUGUUCCUUAUAGUAACAGAGUUGCUUUGGCUGGUUUAGAUCAAUUUAUCACCAGGAAUGCCACUUUGACAAAUGAGAAAGAAGUUGAUGCACACCCUAUUCGUGCUAUGAAGUUUUCUGUUGCCUGUUGUGUGUGUUGCUGUUCAGUGCACGGUUGAUUUAGAUUCAAAGCUUGUUGAAGGUCUCAAGCGUCUUCCUAAGUCAGAUCCUAUGGUUGUUUGAUACGCUAUGACUAUGCUAGCUAUUCUAAAAAUCAAUUUGUACUUAGCCUGAUACAAUUUGAAUAAGUAUAUAAUUGAAGAGGAACUGACUUCAAUCCGGGGAAACCAAGCUUUCAACAUAGUUAUGCGGAUACAUCCACUUGAAGUUGCUCAAUCUAAUUUUUUCUAUUGUAUUAUCACUCCAAUUAUAUAGAAUCACUUCCAAUCCACGCCGACGACUAGCUAGUACUAGUGCGAUGCCAUCCUCAUAAAGGCAUACUGGGCCAGAAAAUAUUUAUAUUUAAUACGAAUAUCCAAAUCCUGAUAGCUUAUUUUUAGUAAUUGAGUCCAUGACUUCUCAAUUCCAAAUUCCUUCAUCUUCCAUAUAAUAAAAUGAGUUUUCUGAGUAUGGUGACAAAAACAAAGACAGUCCCCCAAAACAUA